rnacentral:rRNA from 1 species
UACGAAGGGUGCAAACGUUGCUCGGAAUUAUUGGGCGUAAAGCGCACGUAGGCGGCUAUCUAAGUCGGAUGUGAAAUCCCUCGGCUUAACCAAGGAAGUGCACCCGAAACUGGAUAGCUUGAGUACAGAAGAGGAUCGCGGAAUUCCCGGUGUAGAGGUGAAAUUCGUAGAUAUCGGGAGGAACACCAGUGGCGAAGGCGGCGAUCUGGGCUGAUACUGACGCUGAGGUGCGAAAGCGUGGGGGGCAAACAGG